CAACUCCCUCUCAUCCUUUCGAAUAAUUUGAUCUUGUGCUAGCCUCCGCCGGUUCUUCUGCACGAAUCAAAUCAUCAACUCCUGCAACGACCACGAAACGCCGAUGAAUUUCACGAGCUGACGCCGCAGGUGCCAAAAGAGGCAAAUAGGAUGUCUAAUAUCUCACUGACAUCAUCUUGUCUCUCCCCUGCGGAUUUAGUUGGUGUACCUCAAUGCAUAGCUAGCUGCUGUUUGCAGCUGUAUUCUUUCAACGUCGCAUCAUGACUUCAGACUAGCUUGGGAUCUGGAUUUUGGCUCGCAAACGACCCUUGAAGAGGAG
rnacentral:sRNA from 1 species